UAAUCUUUCAACAUAAUUUACAAAACAAGGCAAUUGAGGAAGAUGUAUUGGAUGUAUUGAACUCUCAACUACCUCCCUGAAGUUGAGGAAUAUCAAUAUUUUUCUUCUGGAUAACUUUGGCAGAUCUCUUCAAACAAGUCGCUGAACCCACAGAUUUAUGUGACCAACGAAGCCUGAGUCUUUUGCUUUACGAUGCAGUCCAGAUCCCUUGGCAGCUGGGUGAGGUAGCUUCAUUUGGAGGCUGCAACAUUGAACCAAGUAUCUGCAGUUGCUUCCAACAUGGCCAGAACAAACCAGAGAUUGACGUUGAACGCUUUGUCGAGUGGAUGAGAUUGGAGCCUCAGUCCAUGGUGUGGCUGCCUGUUCGACACCGUGUGGCAGCUGCUGAAACUGCAAAACAUCAGGCUAAGUGUAACAUCUGCAAAGAGUACCCAAUCGUAGGUUUCAGUCUCAAGCACUUCAAUUCUGACAUCUGCCAAAGCUGUUUGUUUUCGGGGCGCACAUCAAAGGGACACAAGUUACAUUGCCCCAUGGUGGAGUACUGCACUCCGAACCUACCCCGGAAGAGAGAGCCCAGAGAAUUGCCAAAGCUGUCCGCAAACAGUCAAUAGAAGUGAAGGAAACUUGGGAGCAAUUGAAAAUCCAUGCGAGCAACUGGCAGGAACAGGUGGAAAAGGUGUUGGAGAAACUUCAAGAACUGCAGAAAGCUCUGGAUGAUCAUGAGGCUCAUGUGAUAACAGCUGAAGGGGUCCGCACUGAUUGGCAACCUGUGGGUGAACUGCUUAUUGACUCAUUGCAGGAUCACAUUGAUAAAACCACAAAUCUACCCCGGAAGAGAGAGCCCAGAGAAUUGCCCAAGCUGUCUGCAAACAGUCAAUUGACGUGAAGGAAAAUUGGGACCAAUUGAAAACCCAUGCGAGCAACUGGCAGAAACAGGUGGAAAAGGCGUUAGAGAAACUUCAAGAACCGCAGAAAGCUCUGGAUGAUCUUGAGUCUCAUGUGAUAACAGCUGAGGGGGUCCACACUGAUUGGCAACCUGUGAAUGACCUGUUUAUUGACGCAUUGCAGGAUCACAUUGAUAAAACCACAGGUAAGGACUGCCUGCAAAAUCUGAGAUUGGGUUUUGAAAGACAUCAACCUUUGCUUGCGAGAGAUAAUGGUAACUGCAGAUGCUAGAGAAUGCGAGAUAACAAUGUGUGGAGCUGGAUGAACACAGCAGGCCAAGCAGCAUCUCAGGAGCACAAAAGCUGACAUUUCGGGCCUCGACCCUUCAUGCGAGAGAACGUAACGUUUUUAAAGAAGAAAUUGCCCCAGUCAAACAAGAAGUCAAAAUAUUAAAUGAUCUGGCCAGUCAGUUAUCUCCGCUUGAUGUCUCUUUCUCUCCAAAGAUUUCUCACCAGCUUGACGACCUAAAUAUGAGGUUGAAAUUUAUACAGCAGCAGGAGGUGAGGAGGCAGAGACUGCAACCCUGAGGUCACGGAGGGAAGGAAAAGAGGCUCUUACUUGGAGAUUGAGAAGCAGGAGAGGGCACAACCCAGAGGUUUGGGAGUGGAGAGAGGCUGCAAGUUGGAGGUCAAGCCACCAGACUCAGAGUACCUGUUGGGACCAUCCAAAAAUGACUGAACAUUUUCACUCAUUAGGUAAGUAGAUUGAUAAUAGGACUCUGGUUCUGUGCCACUGUCAGAUCAUUGCGACUCCAAAAGGUACCAAAGUAAAUUCUGGAUUCUAGGCAAAUAUACCUAUGUGUUUAGAUCUAUUUAGAUGCAUUCAUGUAGGCUAAAAAUACUUGAAAUAAUGUAUAAUUAGGAGUGACAGACAACAUCUGUGACAUUAAAUGAAAAACAAGAACAAAGAACUUUGGUUCAUAUUUCAGCUUCGACAGGCACUAAACAACUAAAAGCACUGUAUAACCAAUGAAGUAAGUUUUUGAAGUAUGUUUGUAAUGUCGGAAACACAGCAACAAAUAUAUGCGCAGAAGGCUUUCACAAACAGAACUGUAAAAAUGACCACUUACUUUGUGAUAUUGAUUGAAUGCUAAGUGUUGGCCAGAAUGUAGAUCCACUGAACUGAAUACAGGUGGUUUGUGGGUAAGAAAGUCUUAACCCUUUGGACAAACCUAAUUUUAUUUGUAAUUUAUUAGCAAUAACUGAAUUGUGCAGUUUAAGUUCAGAAGUUCCCAAUUUUAAGUGGAGUUUUAACAAAUUCACCUUUGAAGAGCGUUUGGGCUUGAUGAACCCAAGUCUCAACUGAGUUAACUCAGCCUUUUGUGUUAGGGAUGUAUAAAUUAUCCAUCUUAGGGGAGGCGAUGGCCUCACGGUAUUGUCACUGGACUGUUCAUCCAGAGAGACAAAUCAUGUUCUGGGGACCUGGAUUCAAAUCCCGCUGUGGCAGAUGGUGGAAUUUGAAUUCAAUAAAUAUCCGGAAUUCACAAUCUGAUGAUGACCAUGAAUCUGUUGUUGCUUGUUGGAAAAGCUCAUCAGGUUCACGAAUGCCUUUUAGGGAAGGAAACUGUCAUCCUUACCUGGCCUGGUCUGCAUGUGACUCCAGACCCACAGCAAUGUGGUUGACUUUUAACUGCCCUCUGGGUAAUCAGGGCUGGGCAAUAAAUGCUGCCUCGCCAGUGACGCCCUCGACGAGAUUGAAUCAAGAAAAAAAAUUACGAUUGCCUUUUCUAACUUCUCAGCCUUCAGUAAUUGAUUCUCCCAGUGCUAGAGAAGAAGUGGUGACUGUGGCUUAUUCUAUUCCCAAGGUUUAACAUGAUGCAACUGAUGGUAAAGUUAAUAAGCUUUAUGAAAACAUAAGUAAAUAUAUAUAAUUAAAUAAAAAUAGCAAAGUCAUUAAUUAGAACUCGGCUACAACAUGUAAGAGCUCCUGUGUUCCAGUAUGGUCUGGUGCAAGCAUGUUUGCUGUAAGCACUUAAUGUUUGAGUAGCUUGUGUUUAUGAGCUGGAGGCUGAUCUAGGGAUGCUGGGACACAUCAGGAGGGGAGCAAGUUACCUGGAUUCUUUGCACCAAGAGGCAGUCACAGCCCUUAAGUUUGUGUUUGUCUGAUUUGGUCAGUCUUCAGGCGCAGGAGAGGUCGAUGGUGGAGGUUCAUUACGCUAAUA